UACGGAGGGCUCAAGCGUUGUUCGGAUUCAUUGGGCGUAAAGGGUGCGUAGGCGGCGCGGUAAGUCAGGGGUGAAAUCCUGGAGCUCAACUCCAGAACUGCCUUUGAUACUGAGGAUCUUGAGUUCGGGAGAGGUGAGUGGAACUGCGAGUGUAGAGGUGAAAUUCGUAGAUAUUCGCAAGAACACCAGUGGCGAAGGCGGCUCACUGGCCCGAUACUGACGCUGAGGCACGAAAGCGUGGGGAGCAAACAGG
rnacentral:rRNA from 1 species